rnacentral:tRNA from 1 species
GGAGUUGUGGCUUAGUGGUAGAGCGCUUGCCUAGCAUGUGUGAGGCACUGGGAUUGUCAGCACCA